UACGGGGGGGCAAGCGUUGUUCGGAAUUACUGGGCGUAAAGGGUCUGUAGGUGGCUUGCUAAGUCAGACGUGAAAUCCCUCAGCUUAACUGGGGAACUGCGUCUGAGACUGGCGAGCUUGAGGGCAGGAGAGGAACGCGGAAUUCCAGGUGUAGCGGUGAAAUGCGCAGAUAUCAGGAGGAACACCGGUGGCGAAGGCGGUUCUCUGGGCAUGUCCUGACGCUGAGGAGCGAAAGUGUGGGGAGCGAACAGG
rnacentral:rRNA from 1 species